rnacentral:tRNA from 1 species
GCUUUAUAAGUUUUAUCCACACAAACAGCUAAUCUUGUAAAUUAGAAGAACGGGGUUCAACCCCCCGAUAAAGCU